CGAACCGCGCUUUAGAAGCCUUGAAAAAGGUACCCGAAUUCAAAUAUGGAAAAGGCAAGAUUCGCUUUACAGCCGAUCCCUAUAUUCCUGGGGCUUUGCUUCCGCUUGGGUCAUGACUAUCUCAAGCGAUUCUGUAACAAACCAGCAGGCGAUGGAGUCUAGUUCUGUCAUUAACUCAUUUUACAGACGAAGAAACUGAUACUUCCACUAUCCAGGGCUGUCUUUAAAAUGUCAGGGGAAGAAAAAAAAGUCAGACACCCAGACACCCUUAGGAUGUGAACUUGUUAAGAGAAUUUAUUCCCCCAUCUCUACCUCCUCAUCGUCUGUGGAAAAGGUGUGAAGCUGUCAGACCCAACAACUGGCAAAGAAAGUCAUCUCUACAAGGGCAGCUACUCUACAAAGGUGUAACAAGAUUCUUUUGGAGGUAAUUUACACUGGAAGUAGAUGUUGGAAGUUAUUCUUCAUUUGCAGCUCACUGGCAUUUCACACCAGAACAAAGCUCACUGGUCCUAGAGAGGAAAAAGAGGAGUUCCGAGCCACAAACCAAGAGCUGGCCGCAGGGACAGGGUGGAUCAGGGCCUUCACUUCAAUAGCCCUGACACUCAUUGUGGUGUAAGAAUGAUCCAGCCUCCCUCGCCCCAGGGCUCAGCACUUCCUCUGCUCCCCAGCCACUUCUGGGAAGGCUGUCUUGCACUUACCCGGAGAGCUGAGAAAUUGGCUUUGAUUCUUAAAUUGCAAGAACUCCCAUCCACCAUGGAUCAAGAGGUACCAAGGUGAGAACUUGGAAGAAGCCCAAAAUGGUAGUUUUCUAGAAGCUGGUGGAGUCGAUAUUGUCUGCCUGAUGAACAAUCUUGGAAAGAGUCUUCUAGGUAGAAAAACCCAGGAAGCCAAGGGAGCAGACACCCCAGUUCCCAGCCCUGGGAGGAGACAGUGGGGUCACCAAGGGGCGGCUUAGAGAGGCUUCGCCCAUUUCUGUAACCAACCAGCCCUGAUCCCCGGCUUUGAUACGGACUGUUGAUUGAUAUUGACUCUUUCCAAUUUUUUCUAAAGGGCAAGCCCCCACUCCCACCUUCCACGUGGUUGUCCUUUAAGCCCUCCUGGAUAGAUUUUUUGAAGCCACGCUGAUAAAAAGAUAAUAAUAAUAAUAACUCAGAAACCACUCAAGACCGUCUGCUGUCCACACUCUCAACCUCAAAAUAGUUUAUAUUUAUAGAACACUUCACAAUUUCCACACCCCUUCCCCCAUAAAGUAUUGAUUUGAAUUUCAUGACAAACCCUUGAGGUAGUAGGUAGCAGUUAUUAGCCCCUUUUUUACUGCAGAGGAAACUGAUGCUCAGAGAGGUUAAGAAACUUGUCCAAGGUCACCCUGCCAAUAUACAGGAAGUGGUGAAAUAAAGACCCAGACCCAAGCACCCAGAGUCCUAGUUCAAGAGACCAUUCCUGGGACUUCCCUGGUGGUGCAGUGGUUAAGAAUCCUCCUACCAAUGCAGGGGACAUGGGUUCGAGCCCUGGCCCAGGAAGACCCCACAUGCCACGGAGCAACUAAGCCCGUGCACCACAACUACUGAGCCUGCGCUCUAGAGCCCGUGUGUCACAACUGCUGAAACCCACGUGCCUAGAGCCCAUGCUCCACAAUAAGAGAAGCCACCGCAAUGAGAAGCCCUUGCUCGCCGCAACUAGAGAAAGCCCACGCACAGCAACGGAAGACCCAACGCAGCCAAUAAAGAAAUAAGUAAGUAAAUAAAUAAAUAAAUUUAUUUAAAAAAAAAAAAAGGCCAUUCCUAGUUCACUCUGUCCCUCUGCUGCAUGGAACCUCAGAUCCUCCCAGAUCUUGGUGGUUGGCAAACAGAGACCACAUGUGCUCAGGCUGAUGGGGGAGGAAGUGUAACAGGCAUUCCCGCCAGGGGUGGCAGCAUGUGCACUGUGACAGCCUCAUUACAAUGAUUAAAUUGUCCUGUGUCAGUGACAGAUUGGAAGACUGGGAGGCAGGUGGACCACGAACCUGAAAGCACCUCUGGGACAGCCCAAGCAACAUGACCUAUCCAUCACCGGGAGCUGGCAGGGCCCACGAGCUCCUCCAGUGCUUCCGGGGACAAGACAGCCAGGGGGGCCCUGAGGGCCAGAUGUUAUCUCCUGCCAUUUGCAUCUAAAAUUCAUCAUUUCUUGGCAUGAAUUGAUGGAGGAGGCAUAAAGGGGUGGUAUAAUGGGGUAGCACUUUUAAUUCCUUUCUGACCCCCAUUAAAGGCAGCCUCAAGGGGGAAGUUCCCCAAAGGUUAAAUGACUUUAGGUGAUGAGCAGGAAUACAAUUAGACAAGUCAGCCAAGAGGUAUCAGAGGCCUGUGGAGGGCAAUUUGGCAGAAUCGGACUUUUAAACGAAUGAAUUUACCCUACAAAUAUAUUCUCUCAUGGGCCAAAUGAAGCGUUCACAAGGACAUUCACUGUAGCACUUGUCCAUGUGUUGAGCAAAUAAAUAUUAAACAUUGCAGAUACAGCAGGAAACAUGCCAAAAUAGCUGCCCUCCUGAGCUUUCAUUCCAGAGAGGAAACAUUUAUCCAUUCACCCAAUAAAUCUUUACUGAGCCUCUACUAUAUGCUAGGCAUUGUUCUAGGAUAGGGUUGCCAAAUAAAAUAUAGGCUACCCAGAUAAAUUUGAAUUUCAGAUAAACACUGAAAUAUUAUUUAGCAUAACUAUGUUCCUGGGGAGGAAUGGACUGGGAGUUUGGGGUUAGUAGAUAACACAGGGAACUAUAUCCAUAUCCUGGGAUAAACUAUAAUGGAAAAGAAUAUAAAAAAGAAUGUAUAUAUUUGUAUAACUGAGUCACUUUGCUGUACGGCAGAAAUUAAUACAACAUUGUAGGACUUCCCUGGUGGCGCAGUGGUUAAGAAUCAUCUGCCAAUGCAGAGGACACAGGUUCGAUCCCUGGUCUGGACAGAUCCCACAUGCCGGGGAGCAACUAAGCCCUUAUGCCAGCAACUAAGCCCUUAUGCCAGCCCUUAUGCCUACUGAGCCAGCGUGCUGCAACUACUGAAGCUUGCGUGCCUACAGCCCGUGCUCUGCAACAAGAGGAGCCACCACAAUGAGAAGCCCGCGCACCGAAAUGAAGAAUAGCCCCCGCUCGCCGCAACUAGAAAAAGCCCGUGAAGCAACGAAGACACAACGCAGCCAAAAAAUAAAAUUAAAAAAAAAGAAAUUAAUACAACAUUGUAAAUCAGCUAUACUUCGAUAAAAAAAUAAACUAAAGAAACCAAGAAGUAUGGGAUAUCCUUACACUAAAAAAUUAUUCACUGUUCAUCUGAAAUUGAAAUUUAACUGGAGGGACUUCCCUGGUUGCCCAGUGGUUAAGACUCUGUGCUUCCACUGCAGGAGGCGUGGGUUCAAUCCCUGGUCAGUGAACUAAGAUCCCACAUGCUGCGUGGCAUGGCCAAAAAUAUUUCUUAAAAAAAAAUUUGUUUUUAAGAAAUUUAACUGGGAAGCCUGUAUUUCAAUAUGCUAACUCUGGCAAACCUAUUCUGAGAACAUUGUUUAUAGGAGCAAAAGUUCAGAAACAACCUAAGUGUCCAUCAACAGGGGACUUGUUAAGUAAAUUAUAGAAAACCCAAACAAUGGGAAAUCAUCAUCCAAAAAAUAAUAAGGCAAAUUUAUAUGAUGAUUUGGAAUUAUUUCCAAGAUGCAGAGUUAGGUGAAAAGAAGAAGGUUCAAAACAGUGUAUAAGUUAUCCCACCAUCUGGUAAAGAAAAAGAGAUAUGGAGAUAUGUGCAUAUAUGUUCAAAGACUGUCUUGGGAAGGUGGCCAGAGAUGGGUAACUCAUGCUUCUGCAGAAGGAGAACAAGAAAACUAGGGGAAAACAGCAGUACCCCUUCUAUACCUUUUGAAUUUUGAUAUAAAUCCAUAUAUUACUUAUUUUAAAACAACUUCUUUAUCUCUGUGUGUGUUUUAAGAUAUCUUUGCUGGUAGGGUUGUAAGAUUCUUAGAGAGAGUUGCCAUAGCCUCCCUGAAGGUCUUCGACAGUCAGGAUUUCAGGAUGGUCCAGGAAGCAGGAGAAGGGACAGAAUGACCUUGGAGGGUCACUCAAGUUCAGCAUCAAGAACCAUGGCACACACACAGGACCAGAUACAUAAUUUUCAGGGCCCAGUACAAAAUGAUGUCUCCUUGUUCAUAAAUUCUUAGGAAUUCCAGGAAUGGUAACAGCAGAGGUAUAAGUCAAGUAUGGGUUCCUUCUAAACAAAAGCAGAGAAAACCCACACGACUGCUGGGUGGUUCCUUUGAAUAGGGACACCCGGGAACGUAAUUCCUCACACACAGCCAUUUUCCACACUCACCACUGCUCCAGUCAUGAGCUCAGAAGAGAAAGCAAAACAAUAAAAUAAAUAUAAAUCAAAGCCAACCAUGUGAAUAAAAGGGAUCCAAGGGUCAGUGCGGCAGACAAAACACUAGAAUUCAGAUAGCUUUAGGAUCUUCCCGGACAAAUUACACAAAUGGCUGUCAGAGGUGUCCCAAAGUUCACACAAAAUAUGCCUCCUGGCUCACUGAGCUCCCAUUCCCCGGCAGUAAAUUAUUCACUGAACAAGCUGGAGCUGGUACAGCUGUUGUCCCAACAUAGGCCUGAUGUCCACCCAGAAAACUACUCAAUAAUUUGUACGGAAGGUGACCCAGCACUAAAUCCAUCUCUCCCUGAGCAGAGGCACUUGCUUCAGGGGAAGAAUCCUCCAUGCUGCCUCCGGCCUCCUUUUGGAACCAGGCACCGAGUCCCCAUCGAGGGGCCACAGGUGGCCUUGCAGCCCCAGAGCAGCACCUCCUAACCCAGCAGUCAGCGAGCUUGGGAGGCCAAGGACACCAGAGGGAGGCCUCCAGUGGGUGAGAAGGAAAAAGGAGGAGGUCGGGAAAGGAAAGAAAGAGACCCUGCAGGAGAAGAGAUUACAGGCUGAAGAGGGAGGGAUGGAACGAGGAAGAGGGAAGAAAUAUAAGCUUUGAGACAAAGUCUGUGGUUCCAGAGUGGCUUCUACCUCCUUACCGCCCCGAUCUCAGCUUCCGGAAAUCCUUCCCAUCCUUGAGGCUCCGCUCAAACGACACUUCCUCAAGGGAGUUCACCGAUUGCCGCAGAACAAUGCUGCUACGAAAAGAAAUAGCAAUAACCUUGAUGGAGAGCGUACCACGUACCACCUGCAACAUGUCAUUUAGUUCCCCCCAACCCUUUGAAGUAGACACUAUUGCUGCCCUCAUUUUCCAAAUAAAGAAACCGAGGUAUGAAGAAACUUAGUAACCUGCCCAAGGUUACACAGGUGACAAAUGGUGCAGCUAGAACCAGAGAGUGACUUCAGAGCCUUCACUUUUAACCAUUCAGUGCUACAAUUUCCUUCUUCUGCCUCACCCUGUGCCCUCAAGUGGCUCAGACUUUGCUUGUGGUUCCAACUUCACCUCUCCACACCCACCUCUGGGACUCUGUCUCACUCAUACCCCUGUUCCUCCAGGAACCCAGUAUGAUGUCUAGCACACAGUAGGUACUCAAUAAAUAUCAGUUCCAUUCCUUUCUCUAGUCAGACACAUGUACAAAAAGUACUAUGUCUCAGGACUUCCCUGGCGGUUCAGUGGUUAAGAAGCCACGCUCACUGCAGGGGGCACGGGUUCGGUCCCUGGAGAGGGAACUAAGAUACCACAUCCCACAUGCCAUGCAGUGCAGCCAAAUAAAAUAAAUUAAAAUAAAAUAACAGUUAUACUAUCUAAAAAAAAAAGGACUGGGACUUCCCUAGUGGUCCAGUGGGUAAGAUUCCACAUUCUCAAUGCAGGGGUCCUGGGUUCGAUCCCUGGUGGGGGAACUAGAUCCUGCAUGCAUCUGCAACUAAAAGUCCACAUGCUGCAACUAAAAACUCCACAUGCCGCAACUAAGACCUAGCACAGCCAAAAUAAAUAAAUGAACAAAUAAAUAUUUUUAAAAAAUAAAAACAUCAUCUAAAAAGAAAAAAAAAAGUACUGUCUCAGCUACAGACUGGGAGAAAAUAUUUACGUAUCACAUACCCAACACAGGAUUUGUAUUCAGAAUAUAAUAUAAACUGUUAUAACUGAAAAAAAGAAAAUAGGCAACUCAAUUAAACAAUGAGUAGGGGGCUUCCCUGAUGGCGCAGUGGUUGAGAGUCUGCCUGCCGAUUCAGGGGACGCGGGUUCGUGCCCCGGUCCGGGGGGAAUCCCACAUGCCGCGGAGCAGCUGGGCCCGUGAGCCAUGGCCGCUGGGUCUGCGCGUCUGGAGCCUGUGCUCCGCAACGGGAGAGGCCACAACAGUGAGGGGCCCGCCUACCGCCAAAAAAAAAAAAAAUGAGUCAACGACAUGAACAA